UUUUUUAAUUGUGUUUUUAUUAUGGAACCAAUUUAUAAAUAAAAAAGAAAUCAAACUAUUGAGUUUCUAUACAAUAGGUUGCCACUCUUCUCCGAGACCACGACUCUCUUUUCUUCCUUGUCCUGGGAUGAUUUGUUCUUUUUUCAAUCUCUCUUCGAGGUUGUGAAAGUGGGGAGAGUAGGCGGAAAACCAGUCGGCAUACGAAAUUUCAUCCUCGACAUUGUGGUUGUUGGUAAUUAAAGGGCCGUUGAUGUGGUUGUCGAGGAGAGGGUUGGUGUCCAUAAGAUUGUUGUUGAGCAUGUGGUUGUUGUUGAGGUUA
rnacentral:ribozyme from 13 species